rnacentral:rRNA from 1 species
CCUACGGGGGGCUGCAGUGGGGAAUAUUGGACAAUGGGCGAAAGCCUGAUCCAGCCAUGCCGCGUGUGUGAAGAAGGCCUUCGGGUUGUAAAGCACUUUCAGUGGGGAAGAAAGCCUUGGGGCUAAUACCCUCGAGGAAGGACAUCACCCACAGAAGAAGCACCGGCUAACUCCGUGCCAGCAGCCGCGGUAAUACGGAGGGUGCGAGCGUUAAUCGGAAUUACUGGGCGUAAAGCGCGCAGUAGGCGGUCUGAUAAGCCGGUUGUGAAAGCCCCGGGCUCAACCUGGGAACGGCAUCCGGAACUGUCAGGCUAGAGUGCAGGAGAGGAAGGUAGAAUUCCCGGUGUAGCGGUGAAAUGCGUAGAGAUCGGGAGGAAUACCAGUGGCGAAGGCGGCCUUCUGGACUGACACUGACGCUGAGGUGCGAAAGCGUGGGUAGCAAACAGGAUUAGAUACCCCUGUAGUC